CGCGGCCCCUGCAGCCAGGUCUCCAGCCGCUUCACAUCCCGGGACGACUUCCCCCGUCCCGGGCCGCACGGAGCGGAUGGGGACCUGACCGCAGGGUCCACCAGAG
rfam:Phycicoccus sp. Root563 contig_1, whole genome shotgun sequence.